rnacentral:rRNA from 1 species
GACGAACGCUGGCGGCGUGCUUAACACAUGCAAGUCGAACGGAAAGGCCCUGCUUUUGUGGGGUGCUCGAGUGGCGAACGGGUGAGUAACACGUGAGUAACCUGCCCUUGACUUUGGGAUAACUUCAGGAAACUGGGGCUAAUACCGGAUAGGAGCUCCUGCUGCAUGGUGGGGGUUGGAAAGUUUCGGCGGUUGGGGAUGGACUCGCGGCUUAUCAGCUUGUUGGUGGGGUAGUGGCUUACCAAGGCUUUGACGGGUAGCCGGCCUGAGAGGGUGACCGGCAAUAUAGGGAAUGACAAAGGGCCCAGACUCCCGGGGGGGAAAGGAGGGGGGAAUAUGGCAAAAUGGGCGGACGCUUAAUGAGGCAGCCCCGGGGGGGGAGUGGCGGCUUUGGGGUUGAAACCCUGUUUCGCCGGUGAAAAGGCGGGAGGAAGGAAAGUGGAAAGAGAAGCACCGCCAACCUAGGGG